rnacentral:rRNA from 1 species
CCUCUUCGACUACAUAACAAAGUUCAUAACCCCAUUUUUUACUCUAGAAGAGGCAAGUCGUAACAUGGUAAGUGUACUGGAAAGUGUACUUGGUAUAU